GGGAUGUGCUCAGAGAAGGGGGCCUGAAGAAAUGACUCCUCUGUUUACAACACACCCAACAGGAAUCUGGGUUCAUUGUGACAAAUGGCACAAAACUUGGGGCCUUCCUAUGAACACAUACCCUACACAU
ensembl:snoRNA